UACGAAGGGGGCUAGCGUUGUUCGGAUUUACUGGGCGUAAAGCGCGUGUAGGCGGGUCGUUAAGUUGGGGGUGAAAUCCCGGAGCUCAACUCCGGAACUGCCUUCAAAACUGGCGACCUGGACCCAAGUAGAGGCAAGUGGAAUUGCGAGUGUAGAGGUGAAAUUCGUAGAUAUUCGCAGGAACACCAGUGGCGAAGGCGACUUGCUGGACUUGUGGUGACGCUGAGACGCGAAAGCGUGGGGAGCAAACAGG
rnacentral:rRNA from 1 species